UCGGUUAGAACGAUUGAGAAGAAUAACGAAAGCCAAAAGGUUGGGUAAUCAUAUGGUCUCUCUUGCUAAAGCCUGAUAAAGAGCAUAUCAAUCACGUGAACUUGCAGCGGUGUUAGCGGAGAAACUAAUUUUAUCAGUGAACGAUUAUACGUGCUCCGCACGCGUAAGUUAUUCACGAGGAGCAAAGAUCGUGCCGUGAAAUAUAUUGAAUGUAUAUAUUCCAUUAUUGAAUGUAUAUAUAUACAUUAUUUUGUGUACAUAUAAAAUUAUAAAACGUGUGGUGAUAUUUCUCAAUAAAAUUACAUAUGGAUUUCAAUAGAUGAAAAAACAGAAAAAAAUUGGACGAUGUAUAACAAAUCUAAUUGUUGGAAAAAAAUGUGGGAAUAACGAAACAAUAGUAACAACGUUUAUUUUCGAGCAAGGAAUUAAACGAAAGAAAUUAUAAUGAAACGAAGUCUCGAACAUCCAACAUCGACGUAAAAGAAGAUAAAAAGGAUAUUUCGAUUAGAGUGAGGAGUUAGAAUGCGUCGUUAAAGUGGAAAAUAAUUUGGCAAUGAUGCAAAAAUUUAUUGCUUAUCAUCUUCAUCAUCAUCUUAUUCCAAUAUAGCUGAAAGAUCCUAUCUUUGAAAUCGAACGAGUGCGAAGUGCAACUUAGUCUCGCACGUUUCUAUUUUCGAGGAAAACUACGGAACGACGUCGCUUGACGCAAAUGGCGCCUAGUAAGAAACGGAUAGCGAAUAAGUGAGUGAACAAGUGAGUGAGAAAGAGACAGAAAGAGAAAAAGGAAAGUAUAAAAACGAAAAUACGUCACGAAAGUUUUAUUGAAUCGAUCUUAUUCCCUUGUAUUCUUAUUUAUGAGGUAUUAGAAAUUUAUAUUAGAAAUUUAUAUUCAGAGAGAAAGAGAGAGAGAGAGAGAGAGAGAAAGACGAAACGAGAAGAUUCGAUUUACAAAAAUGAUUCAUUGAAUCGAUUUAAAGAAAUCUGUGAAUCUAUGGAUGAAGAUGACUUGCGAAGACGCAAACAGAUCAUAAAUUUUUACCUCAACCAUAAAUUUGUGAUAAUUAUAACGAUUACGUAAUCCACGAGGCGUCCUUUGCUAGUAAUAAUUUUAAAACCCCACAUACUACACGAUACGUGUAUAUAUGUAGAUAUGUAUAAAUGUGUCUAUCUAUACAUGUCGAGUAUGUAUGAUGACGAGUAGAUAGAAUGAAUUAAUUUAUAUCGUUACAGUCCCGUGUUAGAAAGAGAGAAAAAAAGAAGAGAGAUAUACAAGAUAU